CCACCCAGUCCCUCCCCAGCAUAAUCCAAUUCCCCUUUAGUAGGACCCAGCUCCACUCGUGAUGGACUCAAGCUACAUCGAGAGGUAUAAAAAACUUAAUCCAUCUACUUUUGUAGGGGCAUCCACUUUUGAAGAAGUUGAAUACUAGUUAACAGAGAUGGAGAAGGCCUUCAAAACUCUUGGCGUGGUUCUCGAACAGAAGGUCAUUCUUGCCAUUUACAUGCUCGUGG
rnacentral:lncRNA from 1 species